CGACAAACCACAGAACCCCCAGACGUCUCGUCGGGCCUCCCACGUUGGUACCCACCUCCUUCUGCGGCCCUGGAGAGAAGCUGUGUUGUGUGGCGUGUCAGCACAGAGAAGAAUGUGUGUUUGUUUGCUGGUGCUGGCAGAGCUGAACCCCAGCCCAUUCAGGGACUGAAGGUGCCUGUUGGAGACUUCUGGGAUCCUCGGCACUCGGCCUUUUACCCUGGAUCAUCCGACUGCCUUCCGGGUUGGGAAACCUGAAGGUCUUUGCUGUCUUGAACUGUUUUGGUCUUCAAAUAAAUAGUUCUUAAAUUUUUUGUAGUGGAAAAACUCUAUAUUUUAAAUAAAUCUUUAGUGUCACCUUGUAGUAAAAUCUUUGAAAUUAAUGUAUGCUUACUAUUAAUGGUCCCAUAUAACAUAAGAAUACUUUUUUUAGCUCUGUAUUUUCCGUAUUUUCUUCAAAAUAGCUGGGUUCAGUGGAAAGAGUACUGACUGGAGACCAGGAACUAGGGUUCAAAUCCUGAACCUGCCAUAUAAUAGACUUUCUAUCUGUUAUGCCCCAGGCAGGUUACCUAACCUUCCCCAGCUUCUCUUUCCUCCAGAAAUGAGGAGGUUGGGCUGGCUGGGCUCCUUCCAGCCCGAGAUCUAAGAUCCUGUGCAAGUUUGACAAGUGUUAGAAACAAAAUGAAGCAAAGUGUUAUGGCCUCCUCAUUAUUAAUAAUUUUUUUGUAAUUGGGAGCAACUUUCCUGGGUGGUAGCUCACCCAGGAAAACAUUUGACAACAAUUUUAAUUUUUCCUUUACGUAAACAGAUCUUUUAGGGAAUGCUUUGAAAAAACACAUUUUUCCCUUAUGAUUUUGCUUGUAAAUUUACUUUUCUGUAGGUAAAUGCAUCUUAUAACUUUGCCAGAACUUUGGGAAAGGUUUGUGACAAUGUAUCCAUAUCAGACUCACUAGAAGUAAAUCCAUAUUGGAGUUAA